GAGACCUACCUUUUCAAAACCAGGCACUC
rnacentral:piRNA from 1 species